GCCUCCCAAAGUGCUGGGAUUACAGGCAUGAGCCACCACGCCUGGCCCCAGUCUUCUCUUUUGAGCUCUAUCCUAUUGAAUCCAAGUGCCUUCUUGAUAUUUCAUCUAGCAUCACCUCAAACUUAACAUGCUCAAAAUGGAAAUCUUGAUUCCUAGGACAGACUAUUAAUAGUUCCUCACAUAAUGGUCCCUACUUGUAAAUGAAACAUCCUUUCAAUUAUUCAUCCAUAACUCCUCAGUUCUCUCAAGCUGUUCAUUGAACCCAUCAGCAUACUGCAUUGGCACUGUCUUCUAAAUAUACCUAAGAUCCAAUCAUUUCUUACAAACUCCACCCUGUCAAAGCUAUCAGAUCUGGAGGCAAUUAGCAAAAGCCUUCAAACUGGUUACUGUAGAGUCUUUGCAUUUAAUUUAGUUUCUUCCUAGGCAUGCUGUUUACUCAAUAAACACAUGACUCAAUACCUAACUUCCUUCUGUUCUCUGUUCAAAUCCUACCUUAUUGGAUUGACCUUUCAUGAUCACUGUAUAUUGCUUAGCAGUUUUUUCCUCAUUACUCUGUUUCCCUACAUGGUCUUACUGAUCUUCAUGGGUACACAUAACUAUACACCACAUUAUAUAUUUAUUAGUUUGUUAUCUGCUUCCUCUAUUACAGUAUUAUCUCCUUAAGCCCAAUAAUUUUUUUAAUUGCUUAUAUUCAGCUUAUUGCUGAGGACAGGGCUCAUGGUGCGUAGUAGACAUCCAAUAAAGAUUUGCUGAAUAGAUAAAUAAAUAAAUAUUCCUGCUAGACAAAAAGUCAUUUUUUGCAUGUUUUACUAUUGCUAACCAUGUAUAGUUCAGCGUGAGAGACAAAAUGAUAUUUAGAAACUGAUUAUUUGCUUUUCACAUACUUCAUUUUUCAGGAAGCUAUUUGUGUGCAUGAGCUGAGUCCUAGUCGUCUUCCAGGGCUCAGACACUAACAUACAUCACAGCCCACAGUAAGCAUUCAAUGACUAUUUACCAAAUGAAUGACUUGAAAGCACCAAGGGGAAAGAGAGCAAGUUUAAAUCUUCAUGAUACAGGUUACAAAGAAUUGGCCAGGGGACUAAAUCUUAUAACAGUGAGUGUCGCUUAAAUAUAAUUUCAUAUAAAAAUUUAGGUGUCUAGUUUCCCUUGAAAAAUCAGAAGAUCUAGCAACAGCGGGUUGGUGUUCCCUUCAAGGAGUAAUCAGGGGAGUGGAAGAAUGGCUCAUUGUUUCAGAAAUGGUAUGUGACUGUGAUACUGUCUCUGCAUUUCCUACUUCUCUCAUGGAUGUUGCUCCCCAGAGCCUUAUGGUGGUUUGUCUUUGUGAUUCUUCCUUUGCACAAAUAACAAUCCACCUCAUCCCAUAAUUAAAUAGCUUCUGAAUGAACAACAUUAUAGCAAGAGUAAGAACGAGGCUUUUGGAGUCAAACAGGCUUUGUUUUCAGCACCAGCACUAUCUUUCUAGCUGUGGGAUUAGAAUAACUAUUACUUCAGUUCUGUAAACCUCCAUUUUCUCAUACUUAAGACAGGGGAAACACAAUAACAUCAUACGGUUUAAAUGAGAUAAUGCUUUUAAAUAGCCCAGCAUUUAAAAAUACUCAAUGGGUGUUAGCUAUGAUGUCAAUAAUGAUGAAGAAGAUGAUGAUUAUUAUAAUGACUAGGAUGAUGAUUCUUGACCAACCAGGAUAAAAAAGUACUACUAUCUCUGGCUAAUCAUUAGAAAAUGUAAUCAUUGCUUUAGGUUCUGUCAUUAACCUUAGCCUUCUGUUGCUUAUUCUAUUUAAUCCAUAGUCAAGAUGAAACAUCUCCUUGGAUAAAAAUGUGCAUCUUGAUCCUUUUAAAAAUUAUUUAUUCCAUAAUACCCUCAGGAUUUAGCCACAUAGUCUAAAAUCUAUUAAGUAAAAAAAAUUUAAAUGGUUCUGCAUUCAUCACUGAAAUAAUCAAAUCUAAAAUCUGAAAUCAUGCAUUGGGGAUCACAAAGGCACAGCCUCAUCCAUCUUUUAAGCAGAAAUAGAAAAAUAAAAGGGGAAGUGGGAACUCCUCUCUUAAAGACAUGUGAUGGGUUGAUGGACAGAUAACUAAUUAAACUUAGUUUAUGCGAGCAAUGGAGCUGACUUUCUAUACAUGAAAAUGUUUGAAUUAGAAUCAACCAUGGUGUCAAGAGAAUUCUAGGAUACAGAGGAAUUUGAACUUUAUAAGACCUGACCAAAUGCAUAGAUAGCAAGGUCCAUCAGAGGUAAAGUGGAAAAUGAAGCCCACAUGUGAAAAGACGAGAAAAAAAUGCCUUUUUCCUAAGUUGAGGAAAGAUAAUAAAAAAAGAUAUUCAAGAGAUAUUGAGGGAGUGAGGUUGCAGAAACUCUAAAACUUUUGGUUUCAUGUGCUGUUCAUGUAAGGAUAUUUAUGUGCUGCUGGAUUUUGUAGGAAAUUAGCUAAUAGGUUAAUUGAAUAUAAAUUUAUAACUAAAUAUAUCUUAUCUGCAGUAAAACAUAAUAAUCCCAGCCCAACAUUAACCAAUACACUGAAUGUUCAUAAAAAACAAUAUAAACUGCCAUAUACCCUAAUUCCUGCAAUGCAUUUUAAUUACUGCUGUAAUUAUGGUAAAUUCCACUGCAGGUGCAAGGCAAAUGGGCCAUGUGAUAGAAGUAGGGAGAAAAUAAAUAUGUACCCUGCAUUUUAAAAUGUUUGAAAAGGUAGCUUGGGUAUAUAUAACAAAAAGAAUUUAUAUAGAAACAUCAAAAAUGAGCAGGGAGGAAAAGAAGAAAAAAACAAAGAAGAAGGAAUAAAAAGUAGGAAUGGAACCUAGGGCAGCUAGGACAGGUUAUUAAUAUAACCAUGUAAUAAUAUUCAAAGCUUUAUCUAAAUUAAGAAAAACUAUUUUAACUAUUUCUGCUCUGUAUAUGAAAUAAAGCAUUUAAAAAAUUUAAGUCAUAAUUGGCAAGCUUUAAAUAAGUUUUGGUAAAUGAUCUUUUAAAAAUAUAUAUGGGCAUAAACAUCACUUAAUGAGUUUUGAGUGUCUGUAGAAUCACUGUGUUUGCAGGCUGACACUCAUGUGGAAUCAGCUUUUGUAGCCCAGCAGCAUUUUGUAAAACCCUAAUGAAGGAACAGGGCCUCUGUAUCUUGAAUCUGCCUCCCUAAAGGUAAUCAUCAUCCCUUAUCUUCAGGAAUUAGUCAUAAGUCUUUGAAGUAAGCUUUUCAUUUUUAUAGAGAAUGUUUACUGAUGGAGAAAUAUAACACAUGAUGCUGUUACUGAGAGAUUAAACCUGUAUUACUGAGAAAAGAGUAUCCUCAGCAAUAAAUGUAAUUAAAAAUCAUUCUACCUGAAAAGAUUUUUUCUCUAUUUAGUGACUUGAAGGUUUUAUAAAAAGAAAACAAAACAAAGUUUCUAAUGCCUGCUGAACAGAAAUGAUUAAGAAUUGUUUUAGAUUGCAACUUCUUUGAUGGCAGGGGUUACUUUAAACUGGAAAGCAAUUUACAAAAUAUUCCAGAGUAAGUGUUCAAUAUAUUAUUAAAUUACUUGUUUUCACCAACUUAUGUGUGGCAUAGGAUCCUAGAGAUUUCAACAUUUAUUUUUCCCCUUAAAAAUAGCCCUUUAUUAAAUUUAUAAACCAGUAAUUUGGUACGUGAAUCUAAUUUCCUAUAAAAAACACACAGUGUCUACAUUUGCAGAUCAACUUAUAAAUAUUUUAUAUAUGUUUAAUUUGUGUAAAAUAUUUAUGUAAUACAUAUUUGUAUGUAUUUUUAUUACAUACAUAUUUAAUACAAAUACAUAAUUUGUCUAAAUGUAUUAUUAAAAUUGCUACAAAAUAUUUAACCAACAUGCAUAAUGCUAAUUAGACUGAAAAUCUAGUCAGAGUUUCUUUCUUGGAAUUCUAGUUUUCAUUUUUCUUACCUAUUUAGUUGGGGUUGAGAACUCUGGGAACUCUGAAACUAAACAUUUAAGACAAUAGGCUUACUAGCUUUGUGUCUUAACACAAUUUAUUUAACCUUUUGGAAAAUCUGUUUCAUUAUCUGUAAAUUGGAAGGAUAAUCAUAGCUAAUGGGUGGUUGUAGUGAGACUUAAGAAGGCUAAAUUAUGUAACUGGGUAGUACAUAGUAAAUGUUCAACAAGAGUUGCUCCUAAUCAUGAGAAGAAAAAUAUCCAGUCUUAAGUAUACUGAAAUAUGAACUUCUAGAUGAAUUAAGCCAUUGUUUCUAUAUCAAUUUUGUUUUCCUACAAUACCUGUAAAUAAAUGUAUUCCCAGUACACUUAUUCUAGCCCUUAAAAUGAGCUAAUGGUCACACAUGUUUGGCUUCAGUUUAUGUGUUUUUUGUUUCUUACUUGUUUACUGUGGUUCUAGGGGCAAAGACAUGUUUUUAUCAACUGGUCAUUUCUGGGUUCAAGGUGAUAAUGGCCUUGGUGAUGUAUUUACCAUGAUGCUCAAAUGAAAAUGCAGUUAUGGGAAUUUCUAAGAGUAGAUAAAGGGCAUUCCCCUAACCUAUUCCUAUUAUGCUAAAAAUAACAUUUAAUAUAUGUAGAUUACAAUUACUUGGUUUGAAAGUUACAGCUACUAGAAGUGAAAUGCCACGAAAUGUCUCAAUAACACAAUAAAGAGUAUAUUUGAAAAGUGGCAUCUUAAAAUGUUGAAGCAAAAGUGAGAGCUAUUAAAAUGGAAUCAGUUCCAGUGUAAUUCAAGCUGGAGUGCCUCAUGGAAGGCAACAUAUGUUGCAAAGGAGCACCUGCACACAAGGCCCAGGAGAGCUAGGCAAGCCAUUUCAUUUUAAAGCAAUUUGGAGAAGUGGCCAUCUAAAAUGAUUCAAAUAGACUAGAAAUUUGAUCUCCUCAUUUUCACCACUCUUCACUAAACUGCCUUCUCUUACUUUUUGGUUUAAAGUACCUUAGAAAUGACAUUAGUUAUCAUUUUAAAUGAAACAUCUAAAAUACACUUUUAGUCUUUCAGUGAAUCUGGCCCCCUUAAAAAGAUGAGGUCUUCAGGAGCUGGUGCUCAGUGAAAGACAGAACUGUUUAAAACAUAAACUCAUUGUAGUUAUCUAAGCAAUGUAAGACAUAUUUGUUAAAUGCCAACAAAAGCAAAAGCAACAACAAAUUGUGGACAUUGAUACUCAUUUUCAUGAUGUGGAGCUUACAAUGAGAUGCAAACACACCUCCUUAAUAUUCCAAGAAUUACUACUACAGGAUGUGUGUGAGUGUAUGUGUGUGAAUUUCCUGAGUUUAAAGAAUUUAUGCCUUUUCCUGAGAAGUAUGCUUAGAUUUAUAAACAUUUUAAAUAUUUAAGCACAAUGUAAAAAAAGAAAUCUCACAGCAAUCACAGAACAAGACACCUACAGAUGAUCUGUAUUAAGAUAUUUCAAAUAAUACAUUCUCAAAUUUCAUUCCAUUUCUAUUAUGUUGAUUCGCCUCUUCAGGUGCUGAAAUAUUCUGGAUGAUGGAGUCCACACUCUGGCUAUAGAAGCAGACAUUCAUACAUUAAUUCUAGCAUCCAUUAAAAUAAGUUUUCACUGCCUGCCACUUCCAAUUACCCCCUUUCUGAGUCAAAUCAACUUGCACUACUAGAGCUUCAUUCCUUGGUUGAAAUGAAGCUCAGGUUUAACACAUGUUAAAUUGUAAAUGCAGCUUCCAGAAAGGGGAACAUUUGAAGCCACUGUCAGUUACCAGUGCCACAGUGUGAAAGGGCUGACUGCACUCUUUCUGGAGAGAAAAUGUGGUAAAAUAUGGAGGAAAAUCCUGAAGAAGAAAAGGGACAAGAUGCAAAAAGAGGGGCAAAGAACACAAUUAACUACAGCAAUAAACUGAGGGUCCUGCCAACUUUACAGAGUUUACCUCAUUCAAUUCCCUUAUAAAAAACUUAUCUAUGUGUCCCUAAUUUUUCUUUUUUAUUGCUUGGGCCCCUAAUUCUAUAGAAUCUAAUUCAUUAAGCUUGAAAUAUGGCCCAGAAGUCUACAUUUUAAGCAAAUAUCUCAGGUAUUGAUAUAAGAAUUAUAAAGACUACACAUUAAUAGACAAAUAGAUUUUGAAAAAGAACCUAUUGUUUUUGGAAUCAGGUAUGCCUUAUCUCACAACUCCAUAAUACUACAAUUUCCUUCUAUAAAAUUUUACCUCUUUAGGAAUUUAAUUUACUACUGAGGGUGUGAAUUGUCACCUAGGCCCUGGAAAGCAACUUUAUUAUUUUAUGAAAAGCCAGAUCACUUUCACUGUAGCCUACAAAAAUUAUGGACUUUACAAUUUUCUUUCUCUUUCUUAAUGAAAUGCUCAAAUCUCUAUUUAAAACCCAAUUGUAGUAACUUUGCACCCAAUUGCAUUUGCAGGUAACAACUACUGCCUUGAGGCAUUGAGAGUUGAGCUGCAUUCUGACAGUUGAGGGGAAUGAGCUUCCUGGGCAGAGUUUCAGGAGCAUUGCUAAGUUGCUAACUUUUCUGUUUAGAACAUGCAAUGCUCUUGUGAAAAAAAAAAAUCUGACGUUUUAAAAUUGAAGAGCUGAGAGUUUCCAGAGCUGAGUUCAAUCAAGUCUUAAGUAAUGCAGAAAAUUUGAAAACCAUAAAUGCUGCAAAGACAAGGGUGAGCACACACUUACAUGGAGCCAGAAUGAAAGACUGUAUAGUGAGGUGGAAAUAAAAUGGUUGUGUAUUGGUACACCACAAUCUUGAGGUCAGUUUUUCUCAAGAUUUUACAAGGGUAAAAAAAAAAGGGCUUUACUGAAUGUGGGGUGAGUAGGAGGGGUUUAAAGGAAAGGUAUAAAAAUGUCAUGGGAUUUAAAACAAACAGAUCUUUAUGUGACUUCAUAGACCCUAUCAUGGAGCUUCAGAACAAAAAACAUGCAGAGACACAGAGGCUUGUCCACAAAUGACAGAAUUAAGAGACCUCUCAAUCUUCCCUGUACAUAUACUUAUUUCUCUUUUAAUCUUUUUCAGUAGAGAAAACAUGAGCUUUGGAAUCACACAGUACUGGGUUCAAGUUCUAGCAUUUGCAUGUACCAGCUUGAGUGACCAUGGGUGUGCUGUGCUCCCUAGGUCUGAAGGCCUUGUGAAUGACUGACUUCACCCUUCUGCACACUGAUCUUCCUAACAAUGUUCCAAAAGGUGUCUACUGAUUCACGGGAAAGUCUUGACCACUGCCAGGAUGAUACAGGUAGUCUACCCACACUCUGCCCUCUAGGCCAGCAGUUAUUAUGGUAUACACAUGCCCUUCAUUAACUGUUUCACUUUGCACACUGUAUCAGAAACAGUCUAACAGUGUCUUGAGGGAAUGAACCCAGAAGGUGGGUUUUCACUUGUGAGAGUGGGAGAUAGUAAUUUGAUAACGUUAUGUAUUAUGUUUCUUUCUGGUUUUUCCACUUAGAAAUAAUAAAAUAAUAAUUUGCAAAUACAAAAAUAACUAUAUUUCAAUUCUAAAUGUACUUGGGGUCCCCUUUACAUUUUAUCAUACAAACAGGAAUGCGUAGAAUAUUAUCUACCAAGAGAUGAAUACAUUCAGGGCAGGAUUUCAUUAUUCUUAUUAAUGUAAUAGUGAAACUUACAACCGAUAGUAUUUAAGGGUAGAAAAUAGUUAUUUGCCAUAGUGAUACCUUAUAAAAUAGAUACCCUGCACUGCUAUAAGAUCUGUUCAAGGCUUACCUUGUACAAUAAUUGUAAUGCCUCAAGUAUUAAAUUAUAUCUGCCUUUAACCCAUUAAUUUUACAUUAGAAAAAUGCUGCCCAUGUAACAUUUAAGUCGCAUCAAAUGUCAUGAAUGUAAACCAAGUCUAAAGAAAUGAUACUAUAAAACAUUCAUGCUGGAAGUUUAAGUAGAAAAUUUCCUAUGGCACAAUAUCCAACUGUAUAUUCUCUAUGACGUGCAAACUGAGUAUUUCAAUUACACAUUCUCUAUGAUGUGAAAAUUCAACUUCUAUGCAUUCAUCUUAUAUAUUAGUGUAUUCAGCAGACUUUUCUGAGAUGAUGGAAAUGUUCUAUUUGUCUCUCCUGUCCAGUACGGCAGCCACUUGUUACAUGUGGCUAUUGAGCACAUGAAAAUAUGCCUCCUGUAAAUGGGGCAUUAAAUUUUUAGUUUUACUUAA
rnacentral:lncRNA from 1 species